rnacentral:rRNA from 1 species
CCUACGGGAGGCAGCAGUGGGGAAUAUUGCACAAUGGGCGAAAGCCUGAUGCAGCAACGCCGCGUGAAGGAAGACGGUUUUCGGAUUGUAAACUUCUGUUCUUAGUGAAGAAUAAUGACGGUAACUAAGGAUCAAGCCACGGAUAACUACGUGCCAGCACCCGCGGUAAUACGUAGGUGGCAAGCGUUGUCCGGUAUUACUGGGUGUAAAGGGAGCGUAGGCGGGAAACCAAGUCAGCUGUGAAAACUACGGGCUAAACCUGUAGACUGCAGUUGAAACUGGCUUUCUUGAGUGAAGUAGAGGUUAGCGGAAUUCCGAGUGUAGCGGUGAAAUGCGUAGAUAUUCGGAGGAAAACCAGUGGCGAAGGCGGCCAACUGGGCUUUAACUGACGCUGAGGCUCGAAAGUGUGGGGAGCAAACAGGAUUAGAUACCCUUGUAGUC